GUUGGGAUGCUGACUGCAGGUGUGUUGUGCUCAUACCCCCGCAGCUCCCACCUGCCUGGGCACCACGUUUAGGGUUAGAUGGAGAGAUCCAGAGCGUGAGUGAGUGUGUGUGUGUGAGGACAGAAGAUGGAGAGGGAACAAAGGCAGCACAUCCACCGCGGUGCCGGGCCGGGCUCCUUGCCAAGAGCGGCUGUGGCAGCAGCAGCCCCGGCUGGGGUGGUGGCUCCUUGCUGCCAGCACGGCUGGAGAUGCUCCCUGCUGGCCUCUCCUCUGGGGCACGGGCUGAGGCUGGGCCGGGCUGUGAAGGUGGCUCUGGGCUGGGAUGAGGGGUGGUGAUGUCGGGUGCUGAUGUUGGUGUCCGUGCUGGGAUGUCACCUCACCCGUGCCCUUCCCCGGCGUGUCCCGUGGCCACGGCACAGCCAGCCGACAGUAGCAGCUGCCAGCCAGAAUAGCAAAUCCGUGCGACUUGGCACCACUCCAGCUUCCUUGAGGGCUGCAGAGGGAUGGUAUGUUGGAGGGACGAAACUCAAAGCGGUGGGAUCUCUAGAAGCGUCAUUAAAAACAAAACUAAACAAAAACAACCCCGCGACACCAAACGUAGGAACAACGGCAUCAGACAAAUUAUUUUUGUGGUUUUGCGUCUGCGCGCCGGGAGCUGCUUCCAGCCAGGACGGGAAUUGGAGCAGCUCCAGCUGCCUUGUUCUUUCUCCUGAGGAAUUCGAGUGGGGUUUUGUUUGGUGCCUGCACACAUCAGAUGGUGCAGAGACGAUGUUUAGAAAGCACUGCAAGCCCGCCCUGGGCUGCCAGUGAUCGCUGGAGCCGCUGGAAGGCUUAGGCUGAAUAAGCGGCUCUUUUUAAAGGAGCAGCAAUGUCAAGAGCUGGGCUGGCAGGCUGGGGCCCUUUUCCAAGAUGAGGAGGGGCUGACCACAGCUUAGUCCUUGACCCUGAAAGGCUCCCUGGUGGGUCCCCAUCUGUGGGUGUUUGCCUGAAUAUUUUUUCAGGGCUGGCUGGAUAGCAGGGACAUUUUUCCAUUGGGUUUUCUUAACGAUGAAGGUCCCAGGGCUGGAUCCCAUCAGAAGUCCCUUGGUGUGGUUCAUGCAGAUGUGUAGCUCCUUCUCUGGCCACAUGUGUCCCCUGUGAGACAUCACAGAAUUCCCUGCACACCCAAAAGAGAGGGAUCCCAAAACCCAAGCCUCUGUUCCCUCCAUCUGCCAUACCCUCCCUGUGUUUGCUUUGAGCAUCCCAAGCACUCAGGGAGCAGUGGCUGUUCCAUCCCUGGAGGCAGAAUGGAUUAAUCACCUCCCUCUGGAGGAUGCAGAGCUCAGCCCAGCCACCCCUUUGAGUCCUGUCCUCAUCCACCCACCCUCAGCCAACCACAUCUCCAGAGCUGGAGGGAACCUUCUGCAAGAUCAGCCCAGCUACCCUGCAGUUCCUGCAGGAGAAGGCCCUGGAGGCUUCCCAGCCAGACAGUCAUGGAUGUAGUAAUGGAUGCUUGUGAGCAGGAGUGAAGUAACUGGCGUUAUCCCAGUCAUUUCAUGAAUUAUUUCACUCAGAAAGGAUCACAUUCAGUCCCUGUCUGAAGUCCUGCUCUCCCUCUCUGGUCUUGUGCCCAGGCCCAGCCUCACCCUCAGCUCUGUACAAAGUCUGAGCCAUCCGCUCCUGUAUGGAAGUGAAAGAAACAAUCUAAACCUCUCCACAGUCAACAAUUGACACCAGGGAUGGUUUUUGUAAAUUAAUGAGUGUAUCUUCUUGACUAUACUUCAAAGUUUUCACUUUAUGAAUCUUUUAUGGAUUUCUCAGUGCUGGAAAAAAAAAGAAAAAGUGUAAUCCUUGUAGUACUGAAAUUUUACCUUUGUAAAUGAUACAAUAAAAAAAUAAAUUAAACCCUACACUUUAACAAUCAGUUGACUUGAGAAAAAUCAUCCAGUGGGUUGUGUGCACACUCUGGGGCUGAAUUUGCCCAUGAAGGUGGAUACAUCCAAACAGAUGUGUGCUUAAGGGUUAAUAAUGGUCUGGCCACCCUGA